CCUACGGGAGGCAGCAGUGAGGAAUAUUGGUCAAUGGGCGGGAGCCUGAACCAGCCAAGUCGCGUGAGGGAAGACGGUCCUAUGGAUUGUAAACCUCUUUAGGCGGGGAGCAAAGCCGGGCACGUGUGCCCGGAGGGAGAGUACCCGCAGAAUAAGCAUCGGCUAACUCCGUGCCAGCAGCCGCGGUAAGACGGAGGCUGCGAGCGUUAUCCGGUUUUAUUGGGUGUAAAGGGUGCGUAGGCGGAUUUUUAAGUCAGCGGUAAAAUGUCCGGGCUCAACCCGGGCCGGCCGUUGAAACUGGGGAUCUUGCGUGGGCGAGACGUAUGCGGAUUGCGUGUUGUCGCGGU
rnacentral:rRNA from 1 species